UAACAUGUUGUCCACCCAAUAAAAGGAGCAGAGACUGAAUCUAGUACUGAAAGCAUAAGCUAACAUAUGUUUCACUUAGCUAGCGAAUUAGCCUACUCAAAACACCCGGCUCAAACAGAGGGAUGCUAUGUUAGCUCGCUGGCUAUCCAACACAACACUGGAACUCUUCCAAGUCAAGAAACACAAGUGUUCUCUCACGUUGGACCUCUGGGCAACAUCUUCUCCAGAAUCUCUUCUUUGUGUUGUGAGUGUC